GUCGGGCGGAAGCGCCGGUAAGCCGGUCCGGCCAGCCCCAAGGUAUGAACUCGAAUUUUUUUUACCAUAUGGAUUGAUUUAGAAUAUAUGAGGUAUUCAUAUACGAUGGAUCCAACUCAAGAAAUGUUUCGUGGACUCAAAGAUACAUUUCAGCGCAUGACGGAUCUCCAUAGUGCUGUUGAGGCAUUGCAGGAGCUUGACCUGUUUCGGCAGAAGAUUGGCGAGUUUGGUAGUGAAAUGACAAUGAAAAUGGCGAUGGACCCAAGGACAUCCCCAUCGUCCUGAUGGAUGAUGUUCGGAUCAAGCACUCCAAAGAUGCAGUACCUUGCCAUGCGGCUUGUUUCACAAUGUUGUUCGUCCAGUGGAUGCGAGCAGAAUUGGAGUAUUUUUGACUUUCUGCAUACAAAGGUUCGCAAUCGGUUGUCGCACAGAAACUUAACAAGCUUGUCUAUGUCAACUACAACCUUCAUCUGCGACUUGGGGAGGUCUCCGGCCCACCGAUGCGUGAAGAAGGUGAUUUCAUUGACCAGCUAGCCUAUCUUUCAUUCUAUGAUGAGAAUAAUCCGGUGCGGAAAUAGAUGGAAUAUGGUAAAUCUAACCGGGCUCCAGUUCUGGACAAGGAUGAUGAUGACGGAGACAUCCCUCUCCCGUCUCAUAUUGUCAGAGAUCAAAUAAACCUCUCAGAUCUACGUGAGGCUACGGGGGAUGAUUGCAUCAGCGAUUGGGCACAUAAACAUGUGGGUGACACUCACCUAGGGAAGAGGAAGUUCCAGAAGGGGCCUACGAAGGGUGACCUGAAGUGUCAAAAAGGAAAAGGCAAAGCAGCA